rnacentral:rRNA from 1 species
UACAUGGGGGGCAAGCGUUGUUCGGAAUUACUGGGCAUAAAGGGUGCGUAGGCGGUUUGUUAAGUCACUGGUGAAAGUUUUCGGCCCAACCGGAAAAUUGCCUGUGAUACUGGCGAACUUGAGUGCGUGAGGGGUGGGGGGAACGAGCAGUGUAGCGGUGAAAUGCGUAGAUAUUGCUCGGAAGGCCGGAGCCGAAGGGGCCCCACUGGUACGUAACUGACGCUGAGGCACGAAAGCGUGGGGAGCAAACAGG